GAUGAACGCUGGCGGCGUGCCUAAUACAUGCAAGUCGAGCGAACAGACGAGGAGCUUGCUCCUCUGACGUUAGCGGCGGACGGGUGAGUAACACGUGGAUAACCUACCUAUAAGACUGGGAUAACUUCGGGAAACCGGAGCUAAUACCGGAUAAUAUAUUGAACCGCAUGGUUCAAUAGUGAAAGACGGUUUUGCUGUCACUUAUAGAUGGAUCCGCGCCGCAUUAGCUAGUUGGUAAGGUAACGGCUUACCAAGGCAACGAUGCGUAGCCGACCUGAGAGGGUGAUCGGCCACACUGGAACUGGGCCACGGUCCAGACUCCUACGGGAGGCAGCAGUAGGGAAUCUUCCGCAAUGGGCGAAAGCCUUACGGAGCAACGCCGCGUGAGUGAUGAAGGUCUUCGGAUCGUAAAACUCUGUUAUUAGGGAAGAACAAAUGUGUAAGUAACUAUGCACGUCUUGACGGUACCUAAUCAGAAAGCCACGGCUAACUACGUG
rnacentral:rRNA from 1 species